CCCUAUGGGAAGCACCUGCAAUAAGCAGAUUUCUCUCUCUUUCCCAUACAGCAAAAUGAUCCAUAGGUGAAACUCACCGUAAAGCACUGAGGAACACAAAUUUGCGUUUUGAGGAUGGGAAAACUCAAGUUGAGAAAUGAAAUUGGACUUACCCGAGGUCAUUCAAGGUCAGAGCCAGGAAAGGAAUUAGAGACCCAGAUCUCCUUAAUAAUUAGGCCAUUGCAUAAGUCUCAGUGAGAAUGAGAAAAAUUCCUGUUUUUUUUCUACCACGAAAUCAUAGCAGGACAAAAUGUAUGCCUGGAAGCAGUAAAAUCCUAUAGCAUAGGGAAGAGACGCUUGUGUGCCCUUGUAUGGUUUCUGUCUCUCCCUUUCUAAAAGAGUUCAGUAUCUGGAGAGGAACAGGACAAGCGCAGAUACUAAAUUGAAUAGUGACAAUUUAGUAGUAGGCAGGGCUCCUAAAUGAUGGAACUGUUACGUUAGAAUCCACUUAGCCCAUUAUUUCACUUCAAAUCUUUUAUCUCUUUGUGGGCUACCUCAAGCCCACUGAAACAGUGUUUCUGCAGGUUCCGGUGCCAUCCCUACCAGGCUGUGACCAUUAGAAGAAGUGAUCUCUGCUUCAGUUCUCUUCAACUUGUCAUUAUCAAGGCUGGCGAUCCCACUACAUGCAGUAUUAGCUCUUUAUUGUCUGUACUAACCUGUCUGAUCAUUCUGCUUCACCUUUGGAGUGACAUGAGAGAAAAUUUCAACUCCAGAAGGGACUUACCUGUGUCUGGGACACCACUAAUGACAAACAGAACCCAACUGGCCUUUGGAGGUUUUGUCCAAAAAGUCCUCCUCCAUUUAAUAAAAAGUGAG
rnacentral:lncRNA from 1 species